AUUCUCUUAGUAUAAUUAAUACAACUGACUUCCAAUCAGUAGAUUCUGAUAAUCUUCAGAAGAGAAUA
rnacentral:tRNA from 1 species